rnacentral:rRNA from 1 species
GACGAACGCUGGCGGCGUGCUUAACACAUGCAAGUCGAACGGAAAGGCCCUGCUUUUGUGGGGUGCUCGAGUGGCGAACGGGUGAGUAACACGUGAGUAACCUGCCCUUGACUUUGGGAUAACUUCAGGAAACUGGGGCUAAUACCGGAUAGGAGCUCCUGCUGCAUGGUGGGGGUUGGAAAGUUUCGGCGGUUGGGGAUGGACUCGCGGCUUAUCAGCUUGUUGGUGGGGUAGUGGCUUUCCAAGGCUUUGACGGGUAGCCGGCCUGAGAGGGUGACCGGCCACAUUGGGACUGAGAUACGGACCAGACUCCUACGGGCGGCAGCAGUGGGGAAUAUUGCACAAUGGGCGGAAGCCUGAUGCAGCAACGCCGCGUGCGGGAUGACGGCCUUCGGGUUGUAAACCGCUUUCGCCUGUGACGAAGCGUGAGUGACGGUAAUGGGUAAAGAAGCACCGGCUAACUACGUG